GCAUUUGUUAUCUAACAAAAUGAAUUUUAUUUACUUGAUCGAUUCAAGUAGAUCACGAUUCAAAUGGUUUUGGCAGGUGAAGGUCAGAGCCCAGUUCUGUGCCUUGGAACAGAGCAAGUGGCGUUGCUUUGGGGCGAACACGGGGUCACUGAAACGCCUGGGGUUACGGGGCUGGAAGAUCCUCCGUGCCUUGUGCCGUUCCCAAUCCGCAAACCUCACGGAUUCUUUAGCGUCUUUGCUCCGUGACGCUUCAGAAAUGCAGCGGUCCGGCUUCGCAGGGGGUGCUCGCAGCCAGCAGCGGAUGGACCGUGUCUCCGCUGACUUGUGGCAGUGCAAAUUCGGCGGCACCGGGGGAAAUGCCCCGGGAGAUCUGCGCCCUGGGGCAACAGGGUCCCCCGGCCAGCGAGAGACGCUCGGCAGGAAGGAAUGAGUGGUGAGAUGCUUCUCUCGCAUCUUGCCGCAAGCAAAGUGUUUCAAAAGUCAGCUAAAUCACGAAGCUGAUGACUCGGAGGAGAUGUCAGCCUCUGCCCUCCACUGAGAAGGCACAAGCGGGAACACUGCUUGAAGCUUCCUGACCAAUUUGCAUCUGGUUUAUCAGCGAGACACUGCAUCACUAUGUUCCAGCUAAGAGGUGUGAGAACGGCGUGUUUGAAACAGAAAUGUCUCUGAGACCACUUCUGACUGUCUGCUGGGUCCCUCGUCAGGGUGGCUCGUCAGGAGCAAAUCCAGUUUGCUGCAGUUCCACACCCAGCCCGGCACCCACGACUGCUCCUCGCUGGAAUGCCACCUACGUCCUCCGCGCUGGUUCUUUUCUCUGUGCUGUCAAACGGGACGUUCAUAGAAGCUUAUCAGAGUGGUUUUUGCAGGCUCUGCCAGCUACCCAAGCGCAUUAUUGUCCGCUCCUUUAUCCUCAGCAUCUCUGCGACUGCUGGCAAAGUCCACCGAGCUUUCGAGGGCCAGGGUCCAGAAGGUGCCUGCCUCCUCUGCACGUUAUAAACAGCACCACGGCAGCUCCCGGCGCGGCUCGCUGAGCGCCCCAGCGGCCACCGCCUGUGCCCGGGCCAGCACGUCCGGGCCCACGCGGGUCACGCCGAGGCACCGC
rnacentral:lncRNA from 1 species